GUGGGGAAUCUUAGACAAUGGGGGAAACCCUGAUCUAGCCAUGCCGCGUGAGCGAUGAAGGCCUUAGGGUUGUAAAGCUCUUUCAGCUGGGAAGAUAAUGACGGUACCAGCAGAAGAAGCCCCGGCUAACUCCGUGCCAGCAGCCGCGGUAAUGCGGAGGGGGCUAGCGUUGUUCGGAAUUACUGGGCGUAAAGCGCGCGUAGGCGGACCAGAAAGUUGGAGGUGAAAUCCCAGGGCUCAACCUUGGAACUGCCUUCAAAACUCCUGGUCUGGAGUUCGAGAGAGGUGAGUGGAAUUCCGAGUGUAGAGGUGAAAUUCGUAGAUAUUCGGAGGAACACCAGUGGCGAAGGCGGCUCACUGGCUCGAUACUGACGCUGAGGUGCGAAAGCGUGGGGAGCAAACAGGAUUAGAUACCCGAGUAGUCC
rnacentral:rRNA from 1 species